CCCGGUGUGAUGCAUUUUUUUAUCUUUUUUUUUAUGUAUUUAUUUCUGCUGCAAUCAUUGUAUGCGUGUAAUUCGCUCCAUUAAAAAGCUCCGUCUUUCUUUCUUAACAGAAGCAGCCCUCCUGAGGGAAAACGGUGCUGAAGGUGCAGAGAUACAACCCCCUAACGCACCUCAAACUGAUCUGCCAGCAACCUCUUCAGACGCCCCUGAUACGAUCCGGAGAAGACGAUCCUUAAGAAAGAGGAAAAGACCCAGUCUCAUUACACUAAGUUCUACCCUCGAGAUAGUCCAGAGAGUAAUUCCGAAGCUCGAGACAAAAGUGAUUACGAUUCGAAGGCUUGCAACGGAAUCUGCAUCGAUUAUUCAACAAAUUCCAUACUGCGGCCGCAGAGGAACCUACUACAGUCGGAGAGCUGAGGAGCUUCUGAGAAACUGCAUCUUUCUCCUGAAAGAAAACGCCAAGAUCUCAUUGCUACAGUAGAGUUAACCUUUUAAAUUGUGACCUCUGUUAAAAUGGGUAGCCAGCAACUGAGAAAUGCAUUGAAUGAAAUUGUUGAAGCUGUGAA